GAUGAACGCUGACAGAAUGCUUAACACAUGCAAGUCGAUGGGGAAGUGGUGCUUGCACCAUGGCAACCAUGGCGGACGGGUGAGUAACGCGUAAGGGACUUACCUGCAGGACUGGGAUAACAGGGGGAAACUCCUGACAAGACCGGAUAAUGUCAUGGAGCUGCAUGGCUUUAUGAUGAAAGGAGACGCCUGCGGAGAGCCUUGCGUCCUAUUAGCUAGUUGGUGAGGUAAUGGCUCACCAAGGCGAAGAUAGGUAGCCGGCCUGAGAGGGUGGACGGCCACAAGGGGACUGAGAUACGGCCCUCACUCCUACGGGAGGCAGCAGUGGGGAAUAUUGGACAAUGGGGGCAACCCUGAUCCAGCAAUUCUGUGUGCACGAAGAAGGUUUUCGGAUUGUAAAGUGCUUUCAGCAGGGAAGAAGUAAGUGACGGUACCUGCAGAAGAAGCGACGGCUAAAUACGUG
rnacentral:rRNA from 1 species